UCAAGGUGACAGCUGUCAGUCACGAGGAGAAGAUUGGUUUGAAAUUUUCACAUCAAAUUUGUCAGAGAAGAACAACAAAGCAUUAACGGAUGAUGCCAACGAUGACACUUUGCCUGCUGUUGUGGGUUCUUGGUACUGGAGUUAUUUUAUCAGAGGGAGAUGAUCCACCUUUUGAUGAUGAAGAUUAUAGUUAUUUUUUUACUUCUGGCGAAAUAAAUUCAACCUUAAUAAUAAAUGACACUGAACUGCUGGCCUCUCUACUGUCAGAUUUUGGCAGUGGUGAAAUUCCAGAAAAAGACACGACAGGCUCCUCAGCUCCCAGAAACCAUGGACUGAAAACAACUGGUGCUGAAAAUGCUGACCUCUGUUCCCUUGGCCUGAGCUAUGUUCUUUUAGCUUUGUGUAUGCUAGUAUAAAAAAAGUUUGUUUGUUUUUUCUUUUGAAAAGUGUGAGCUGCUUGUAAAUACACAGGAAACCUGUUCACCCCCCACCCGCAAGUUUUAUCAUCCUGCUCUUACUGAGUAGAUUAGUGGUUUGAUUGUUAAAGUGAUUACUUCUGUGUUUCUCGGCAAUGAGCUUCUGGUAUUCAACAUCUGCAACCACAAAUCCACUAAGAGCGAGGUGUUCUAUUUUUUUUUUUCAGAUGAAUAAGCCAUUAGAAAUAAAACAAUCUUUAUUUUUCACCAAUUCUAACCAAGAAAACUUCAAAUUAGCACAUAAGCU